UGACAUGGUCUGUGUUGAUACAGAGGGACGUAUACAUGUACAUACAGUAAAUCGCCAUCUUUGUUCAUUUCAACCAUUGCCGUAAGUGACAUCAGAAUGGGAAGAUAGCAGUGGCUCAUUUCAUGUAUACCUGAAGACUCCUGCCCACCUCGACUCAAACCACCCAGAUGACCCAGGCAAGCUCAGAGGUGGAGUGAUAAGACGUCUCCACUAAUAAACAGGAGGUACUGGGUUUGAUCGAGUCCCACCUGAGUAUUUAACAGUAAGACUGGCCUAUUUUAAAACAAGUGCCCUUUUGUUAAACCAGAGUGCCCUUUUUGUUACCAGCAGCCUUUUACGAGUGCCUAGCUUUUUGGAAUUUCAUGCGACCGUCAGCAAUUGUGCUGCCCC